UCCGAGUUGACCCCGGCAGUCUCCCGUGAGUCCCCACCACCCUAAAAGGGCGUGCUGGCAACACAGGACAAGGGUUGCGCUCGUUGCGGGACUUAACCCAACAUCUCACGACACGAGCCGACGACAGCCAUGCAGCACCUGUGUUCCCGCCAGCCGAACUGAAGGAUCCCGUCUCCAGGACCCAUACGGGACAUGUCAAGGGUUGGUAAGGUUCUGCGCGUUGCUUCGAAUUAAACCACAUGCUCCACCGCUUGUGCGGGGCCCCGUCAAUUCCUUUGAGUUUCAGCCUUGCGGCCGUACUCCCCAGGCGGGGUGCUUAACGCGUGAGCUUCGCCACGGAGGGGGUCGAUACCCCCCAUAGCUAGCACCCAUCGUUUAGGGCGUGGACUAC
rnacentral:misc_RNA from 1 species